rnacentral:rRNA from 1 species
GACGAACGCUGGCGGCGUGCCUAACACAUGCAAGUCGAACGGGGUGUCGGGAGCUUGCUUCUGACACUUAGUGGCGAACGGGUGAGUAACGCGUGAGGAACCUGCCUUUCAGUGGGGGACAACAGUUGGAAACGACUGCUAAUACCGCAUAACGUAUUCGGACCGCAUGAUCUGAAUACCAAAGCUUUAUGUGCUGAAAGAUGGCCUCGCGUCUGAUUAGCUAGUUGGUGGGGUAACGGCCUACCAAGCCGACGAUCUUUAGCUGGUCUGAGAGGAUGAUCAGCCACACUGGGACUGAGACACGGCCCAG